CAUCCGUAUUAACACGCAAACAAACUGUAUUUGGAGGCCUUUUAAUAUAUUUAGUUGUGUUUUCGCAAUUUAACACGCUGUCACAAAUCCCAAUAUUGAUACGAUGUCAAAACGACGUUUUGUUUGUAUUUGUGUGCUUACAUUCGUGUGUUUGCAAAGCGCCAAUGAAGCAUGGGCGUGGUUAUAAGAAAAUUAAAUGGAUGAUUUGCCUCAUCGCAAUAAAAUUCCGAUAUCGCCUGGUCACUGUUACAAAAACUCAUUUAUGAUUAUGAAUUGGAAAGUUCUACUAGCGUACGUAAAUAUAUAGCAAACAAACUGCUAAGUCUCAACGCUUUUAUACCGCAAUGGCUAUAUUAUGACUACACGUUAUGAAAUUUACUAUAAAACGUUUUAUGUCAUUUAUUAAAAACAUUCAUACCAACAGUUGGCGCAUCGUUCUGAGCUGUUGUAUUUGUUCGUCAAACAUAAUCCCUUAAUUGAAGCUGCCGAAUUAUCACAUGCUCUGUUGGAAGCUGGAAGCUAAUAUUAUAGGCCAGGAAAUUGUGUCAGCCAGUGAAUACAUUAGAUCUUUUGUUGCACAGAUUGAAAUUGAGUGCUAAUUCAGAUAUCGAGUAUAAGCAGGAGUGCUCACAGAUUUAGAGGACGUCAUACAUACCUCCAUAUUUCGAUACCGCACAGCGCACAGCAGAGGAUAAAAUCAAAUGGAUUAAAUAA